rnacentral:rRNA from 1 species
GAUGAACGCUGGCGGCGUGCCUAAUACAUGCAAGUCGAGCGAACAGACGAGGAGCUUGCUCCUUCGACGUUAGCGGCGGACGGGUGAGUAACACGUAGGUAACCUACCUAUAAGACUGGGAUAACUUCGGGAAACCGGAGCUAAUACCGGAUAAUAUUUCGAACCGCAUGGUUCGAUAGUGAAAGAUGGCUUUGCUAUCACUUAUAGAUGGACCUGCGCCGUAUUAGCUAGUUGGUAAGGUAACGGCUUACCAAGGCAACGAUACGUAGCCGACCUGAGAGGGUGAUCGGCCACACGGGAACUGAGACACGGUCCAGACUCCUACGGGAGGCAGCAGUAGGGAAUUUUCCGCAAUGGGCGAAAGCCUGACGGAGCAACGCCGCGUGAGUGAUGAAGGUCUUCGGAUCUUAAAACUCUGUUAUUAGGGAAGAACAAACGUGUAAGUAACUGUGCACGUCUUGACGGUACCCAAUCAGAAAGCCACGGCUAACUACGUG